rnacentral:rRNA from 1 species
GUCUGAUUAGCUUGUUGGUGAGGUAACGGCUCACCAAGGCGACGAUCAGUAGCUGGUCUGAGAGGAUGAUCAGCCACAUUGGGACUGAGACACGGCCCAAACUCCUACGGGAGGCAGCAGUGGGGAAUAUUGGACAAUGGGCGCAAGCCUGAUCCAGCCAUGCCGCGUGAGUGAUGAAGGCCCUAGGGUUGUAAAGCUCUUUUGUGCGGGAAGAUAAUGACGGUACCGCAAGAAUAAGCCCCGGCUAACUUCGUGCCAGCAGCCGCGGUAAUACGAAGGGGGCUAGCGUUGCUCGGAAUCACUGGGCGUAAAGGGUGCGUAGGCGGGUCUUUAAGUCAGAGGUGAAAUCCUGGAGCUCAACUCCAGAACUGCCUUUGAUACUGAGGAUCUUGAGUUCGGGAGAGGUGAGUGGAACUGCGAGUGUAGAGGUGAAAUUCGUAGAUAUUCGCAAGAACACCAGUGGCGAAGGCGGCUCACUGG